UGGGGAAUAUUGGCACAAUGGGCGCAAGCCUGAUGCAGCCAUGCCGCGUGUGUGAAGAAGGCCUUCGGGUUGUAAAGCACUUUCAGCGAGGAGGAAGGUGGUGAACUUAAUACGUUCAUCAAUUGACGUUACUCGCAGAAGAAGCACCGGCUAACUCCGUGCCAGCAGCCGCGGUAAUACGGAGGGUGCAAGCGUUAAUCGGAAUUACUGGGCGUAAAGCGCACGCAGGCGGUUUCGUUAAGUCAGAUGUGAAAUCCCCGGGCUCAACCUGGGAACUGCAUUUGAAACUGGCAAGCUAGAGUCUCGUAGAGGGGGGUAGAAUUCCAGGUGUAGCGGUGAAAUGCGUAGAGAUCUGGAGGAAUACCGGUGGCGAAGGCGGCCCCCCUGGACGAAGACUGACGCUCAGGUGCGAAAGCGUGGGGAGCAAAACAGGAUUAGAUACCCUGGUAGUCCACGCUGUAAACGAUGUCGAUUUU
rnacentral:rRNA from 1 species